rnacentral:rRNA from 1 species
AUACGUAGGGUGCAAGCGUUAAUCGGAAUUACUGGGCGUAAAGCGUGCGCAGGCGGGUUUGUAAGUCAGAAGGGAAAUCCCCGGGCUCAACCUGGGACCCGCCUUUGUUACUGCAAGGCUAGAGGACGGCAGAGGGGGAUGGAAUUCCGCGUGUAGGAGGGAAAUGCGUAGAUAUGCGGAGGAACACCGAUGGCGAAGGCAAUCCCCUGGGCCUGUACUGACGCUCAUGCACGAAAGCGUGGGGAGCAAACAGGAUUAGAUACCCUGGUAGUCCACGCCCUAAACGAUGUCAACUGGUUGUUGGGUCUUCAUUGACUCAGUAACGAAGCUAACGCGUGAAGUUGACCGCCUGGGGAGUACGGCCGCAAGGUUGAAACCCAAAUGAAUUGACGGGG